CGGGUGGGGCGGAAGCUGCCAACAGACGCCCCGCGUUCCCCUCUUCUCAGGCUGUUGUCCCGCUUGUCCCAGCAUGAACAGACAAAGGACUCGUUUCUAGGACGAAUCAGCUCCUGAAGGUGCACAGAAUUCCCCAUUUGAACUACAGAGGGAGCCCGGGGCUCUGCUUUGGAGAGCAGGAGAGCCGCGGGCUCGGCCGCGUCCAGGCGCGGCCUCAGGGAGCUUUCCUCUCCUCCUGCCAGAGAGCGGGCAACCCCCGCGGGCAGGCCCUGCCGCGGGGCACAGAGAGCUGGGGGCGUCAGCGGUGUGCACCGCGGAUCUAGCUGCCCUCUCGAGUCCCGCUCGCAUUCUGCACACUGCACAUUCGCCAGCUCUAAUCAUUAAAAUGUUUUUUGCGUGGUUUGCGAGCAAACGAAACCGCGGGGGGGCUGCUUCAGGCUCCCAGAACGUAACACAGUGAGCGGUGAGAUGGCUGGUCUUAAUAGAAGCAUAAACUUCUGCAAUACGGUGGAAACUUCUGCUCCUUUGUUUUCCCUGUGAGCUCCAGUCAGGAUCAAAACUGGGGAUUACCACAAAUUGUGCAGGACUGGACUUUAGGAGGUCCUCAAAAGACUACAUCUAAGAGUGCUGCAGGUCACAGGAGAAAAUGCAUUGAUAAUAAAAUCCUUCAGCUGGGAAGAGAUCAAAUACAACAUGGAUCACCAAACUACUUCAGUGCUAUCCCAAAAUUACUUUUGCAUGUAGCAAUGGCAGCAUGAAUAUUUAGGAAGAAAACCUGGAGGAGGUGCAUGUUUCAUCAAUAAACUUAUUAAGUUAAUAAUUUUUAUACUCACAAGAAACUGGUAUUUGUUGCCUGUGUGUCUUUGAAUGCUUGUUGGUUUAUUUAAAAAUGUUUGCAAGUCCUGAACUUCACAUUAUUCUUGUUUCUCAUUAUCAGUUAAUUGCCAUCAUUAAUCAUUGUUUUCUUGAUUAAAAAGUAACAGUCAGUUCAAUACCAUGUGAUAUGGAUGACUAAUCACAACUCAGGAGUAAUAAAGAGUUGAAAUAAGUGUUCACGAA